rnacentral:misc_RNA from 1 species
GAUGAAGAACGUAGCGAAAUGCGAUACGUAAUGUGAAUUGCAGAAUUCAGUGAAUCAUCGAAUCUUUGAACGCAUAUUGCGCUCUCUGGUAUUCCGGAGAGCAUGCUUGUUUGAGUAUCAGUAAACACCUCAACUCCCUUUUCUUUUUUGAAAUUGGAGCUGGACUUGAGUGAUCCCAACGCUUUCUUCCAAGAAAGUGGCGGGUUGCUUGAAAUGCAGGUGCAGCUGAACUUUUCUCUGAGCUAUAAGCAUAUCUAUUUAGUCUGCCUAAAAAACAGAUUAUUACCUUUGCUGCAGCUAACAUAAAGGAGACUAGUUCUUGUGCUGACUGAUGCAGGAUUCACAGAGACAGCUUCGGCUGACUUUGUAAACUCGAUCUCAAAUCAGGUAAGACUACCCGCUGAACUUAAGCAUAUCAAUAAGCGGAGGA